CACAACUUUUUUACAGCAUUCUACUGCUAGCUGACACAACAUGACAGUAUUUAAGUUAUAGCUGGCAGCUACUAGCAGUAAUAACAGACUCAAACUACACAAAGUUACCUCUACAUGUAACGUUAGCAUAAAGCAAAAAAGUAACAUUACUGCAUAUGAAAUACCUGCUGUUUGUCUAUUGCACAAGUUCAGAGCACUGAAAUCCCUUCAUUCAAGAUAUUAAUUACGUUAGCAUGUUUGAAAAUCUGUCUGUUUAUCAUCAAAAUACACCAGACACCACAUAUCUGCCAGGCAAGUAUACAGGCAACACUUUGCUCAUAUUAAACUGUGUUAAUACAGGAUUUCUCAUAUUAUUCACCUCAUAAACUCAACCCAGGUUGUUUAUACCCUCUGUUUGCAUGCAUAUUGCAGCUAUGAUGUCAGUUGGAAACCCACAUAUCACAAUAAGUCCAGAUAUUAUGAACCGACUGCAACUGGUUUUAUUAUUGGAUUAAUCUGCUGUGUCCAUUGCAGAGUUGCACUUUCUGUUUUAGCAUCUGUAAACUAAGCUCACAUUUUGAUCAGGACACUCACAAAAAAAUAUAUAUACAACAAUCUCUAAGAGACUAUCCUGGCAAAAUAAAACUAAAAAAAAUGAACCAAUAAUUUGUAGACUUAUCUGUCGAAAGUAGUUUCAAAAGUAGACUACGACCCAGGUCAACAUUAAGCAUAUUUUAGGGUUCUGAGUAUUUUUUGGUGACAUUGGCAAAGAAUAUGAAACUUUCCCUUUAGUGAAUGUGAUCAGUUGUCUGGUUUUUACCCUCCUACACCAGCAAAAAUCAGCCAAACUCAAUCCCUGCUGUGUCUUCCCUCCUACUCCUAUUCAGAACCUCUGAUUGUUCAAACAGAGCAUUUUUCCGUAACAAACUGGUGGGCGGUCGUCUGUAAAUUAGAUACUUGUGUCGUCUGUUGGUGUUUGGACAGACAGCUUUAUCGAAUCAGUGAAGUGGCAGAGGAGAGGCGAGUUACGAGCCAGGCUGAAGAGGGAGGGAAGAAUAACAAGUGGUGAGGGAGAAACGGGGUGAAGGGUAACAAUAAAUGAGGCCGUGUUGAAAGAAAAGGUUAUGGGAACGAAUGGUGUCAUCACAGAGGUGUUUAUUGGUGUCUGAAGUAUUUGGAUAAUCGCUUGAUAGUUUUAUGAACUGCAGUCCGAGCUACUGUAAUGUUUUUGACUCAAAGGGGAAUUUUUGACUCGUGAUGGACUGGCAAUUAUAAGAAUAUUUGUCAUAUCUCAUCUAUUAUGUAAUGUCAUGUAGAGAGACUCCUCCGUUUUUCUCGAGAACACGAUAAGAAUCAAUAUUUUUCAUGUAUGAAGGAAGUCUCAGCUGCAAAAAUGUCCCAGUUAUUUGAUCGUGUUUUGCAGCUGGAUUGAAAAUUCCUGAGCCUCUACCCAUCUGGAGAAAUGAUCACGGUGCACAAAUUGUUCUCUUGUUGGGUUCCUACAUGAUGAAUGUUACAAUGUGCCACAAGGCCAGCUCCCCUUUUUCUAAUUUGUUGUUAUGGAAAGAUAUUGGCACAAACAGCUCAGCGUCACUCUCUCAUACUUUUGUCCACAAGGUUUGGUUUUGUUUUCAUGGCAGCUUUCUGAUUUUAAUAAGAAAUCAUCAACGUCUGUUUCGGAGCAGCUUGUCGUAUUAACUAUAGAUUUGUUUUUUUCUAUCGAUCCAGUUUAAAACAGGCACAUUUUGGGUGAAAAGUGAACCUUUUGGCCAGUCUAGGUUACAUAUAACAGCUGUUUUAACAGUAUAUUUCAACAUGUUGUUAGGACCUGUAACAGUUAUACUGUAACCUCAACAUCUUAAGAUCACUUUUCAGUUUAACCUAGCUUUAACUAAGAAGAAACUUGAGUCAAAUCAGUGUUUAUAAGUGUCAACUCUGUUUGUCCACAGCAGGAUCAUAUUGACUCCCAACUCUACUGGCCUGGACUUGAACUGUGUUUUUUAUUGCUAUGUUUUUCAGGAAGUAUAUCACUUAUAAAUGUGAUCUUCCAAAAUCCAUAAAUGUGUUUGAAGGUUAAUUAUGAAUAACAAGAAUCAUCUGUGUUCUACCCAAGUUUAUCUUGACCCUUAAAUCUGUAAGCCUGUGAUAUCAAUACUAUCCUUUCAGUCUUCAGACACAUGACGGAUCUCGCACAUCUAAUAAGUAUUAACCACAGUAGACGGAUGAAGAUCCUGCUGCCCUGCAAUCAUCUCAUUCCUCUCACCUGACUUUCCCGCCCAUCUCCUCACCUGGAUCCCGUUAUCCUCAUCAGUCACUCUUCACACAUACUGGCCUAGAUUCACUUACACCUUGCCAGAUUGUCUAGUGUCCUCAUACCUGUGGUCGGCUUGCCUGUUUACCAGUCUGAAGAUUUUGCCUGUUCCCCCUUGGAUUUGUCUGCCUGCCUGCCUGGUUUAUGACCCCUGCUUGUUUUUCAGGCUUGAUUAAAGGAUAUUGGACUCUG